AGGAUUAACGCUGGCGGCGUGCCUGACACAUGCAAGUCGAACGAGGCCGCAAGGCCGAGUGGCGGACGGGUGAGUAACACGUGACCAACCAACCUCGAAGUUGGGAAUAGCUCUGCGAAAGUAGGGGUAAUACCGAAUGUGGCCCAGGGCAGGCAUCUGCCUUGGUCUAAAGAUUCAUCGCUUCGAGACGGGGUCGCGGCCUAUUAGCUUGUUGGUGGGGUAACGGCUCACCAAGGCGAUGAUGGGUAGCUGGUCUGAGAGGACGACCAGCCACACUGGGACUGAGACACGGCCCAGACUCCUACGGGAGGCAGCAGUGAGGAAUCUUCCGCAAUGGGCGAAAGCCUGACGGAGCAACGCCGCGUGUGGGAUGAAGGCUCUAGGGUUGUAAACCACUGUCGGAGGGGACGAUCGUGACGGUACCCUCCAAGAAACGCCCGGCUAACUACGCGCCAGCAGCCGC
rnacentral:rRNA from 1 species